rnacentral:tRNA from 1 species
UCCCUGGCAGUCCAGUGGUUAAGACUCCACACUUCCACUGCAGGGGGCACGGGUUCAAUCCCUGGCCAGGGAA